UGAGUACGAGAUGCUACGGCAUCGAAGCAGUCUAUGUCAUACUUCCAAGAAAAGCUUGCACUGUCAGAAACAGAUAAUGCCUGUACCAUAACCGACACAGGUGGGUAGGUAGAGUAUACUAAGGGGCGCGAGAUAACUCUCUCUAAGGAACUCGGCAAAAUGACUCCGUAACUUCGGGAGAAGGAGUGCCUUAUUUUUAAGGUUGCAAUAACAAGAUCCAAGCAACUGUUUACCAAAAACACAGGUCUCCGCUAAGUCGUAAGACGAUGUAUGGGGGCUGACGCCUGCCCAGUGCCAGAAGGUUAAAGAAGUCGGUUAGCAUUCGCGAAGCUGGUAACUGAAGCCCUGGUGAACGGCGGCCGUAACUAUAACGGUCCUAAGGUAGCGAAAUUCCUUGUCGGGUAAGUUCCGACCCGCACGAAAGGCGUAAUGAUUUGGAUACUGUCUCGGAGAGGGGCUCGGUGAAAUAGACUUGUCUGUGAAGAUGCGGACUACCUGCACCUGGACAGAAAGACCCUAUGAAGCUUUACUGUAACUUGAAAUUGAAAUUGGACUUUAUUUGCGCAGUAUAGGUGGGAGGCGUUGAAAAUAUUCUUGCGGGAAUAUUGGAGCCAUCAGUGAGAUACCACUCUUGUAAUGUUAGAUUUCUAACUUUAUAUCAUUAUCUGUUUAAAGAACAGUUUCAGGCGGGCAGUUUGACUGGGGCGGUCGCCUCCCAAAUGGUAACGGAGGCGCACAAAGGUUUCCUCUGAACGGGUAGAAAUCGUAUCUAGAGUGUAAAGGCAUAAGGAAGCUUGACUGUGAGACCUACAAGUCGAGCAGGGACGAAAGUCGGUCUUAGUGAUCUGACGGUGCUGAGUGGAAAGGCCGUCACUCAACGGAUAAAAGUUACUCUAGGAUAACAGGCUGAUCUCCCCCAAGGGUUCACAUCGACGGGGAGGUUUGGCACCUCGAUGUCGGCUCAUCGCAUCCUGGGGCGGUAGUACGUCCCAAGGGUUGGGCUGUUCGCCCAUGAAAGCGGUACGCGAGCUGGGUUCAGAACGUCGUGAGACAGUUCGGUCCAUAUCCGGUGUAGGCGUUAGAAUAUUGAGAGGAGCCUUCUUUAGUACGAGAGGACCGAGAAGGACAUACCUCUGGUGUACCAGUUAUCGUGCCAACGGUAAACGCUGGGUAGCUAUGUAUGGAGUGGAUAACCGCUGAAAGCAUCUAAGUGGGAAGCCCACCUCAAGAUAAG
rnacentral:rRNA from 1 species